rnacentral:tRNA from 1 species
GUUGAGGUGGCAGACUAUGGUUAUUGCUAAAGGCCUAAACCCUUUCCAUAGAGGUUCAAAUCCUCUCCUUAACU